rnacentral:misc_RNA from 1 species
UACGUAGGGGGCAAGCGUUGUCCGGAAUUAUUGGGCGUAAAGCGCGCGCAGGCGGUCCUUUAAGUCUUGUGUUUAAUGUCGGGGCUCAACCUCGAUACGCAUGGGAAACUGGGGGACUGGAGGGCAGGAGAGGAAAGUGGAAUUCCACGUGUAGCGGUGAAAUGCGUAGAGAUGUGGAGGAACACCAGUGGCGAAGGCGACUUUCUGGCCUGUAACUGACGCUGAGGCGCGAAAGCGUGGGGAGCAAACAGG